UACGUAGGUGGCGAGCGUUGUCCGGAUUUAUUGGGCGUAAAGCGCGCGCAGGUGGUGCGGUAAGUCUGUCGUGAAAUCUCCUGGCUCAACUGGGAGGGUGCGGUGGGGACUGCCGGACUGGAGGCACUCAGAGGCCGGUGGAAUUCCCGGUGUAGUGGUGAAAUGCGUAGAGAUCGGGAGGAACACCAGUGGCGAAGGCGGCCGGCUGGGGGUGACCUGACGCUGAGGCGCGAAAGCGUGGGGAGCGAACCGG
rnacentral:rRNA from 1 species